rnacentral:lncRNA from 1 species
CCUGGAGUAUAACACAACCUCACAUAAUGCUUCCCUCAACUUUUAUAGCAGAGCCGCAGGACGAAUUCUAUGACCAGGCCUCACCGGACAAGAGGACUGAAGCUGAUGGCAACUCUGACCCCAACUCGGAUGAGUAAACUUUCACUGGACCUGUACAACCAGGAAAGAAGGUGGCCCUGGGAUCUGCUGCACGAAAUUCAGGUCCAUGUUCUCAUUUGGGCAGAGCUGGAUCUGAAUUACGACAUUUAAAUCAUGGUUGAUGAGAAUGUAAACUGUGGAAUAUUGGCUUUAGUAGCAUUUUUCUUAUACCUUUCAUGGGAAGUCAGAGAGGGUAUGUUGGGUAAAACUCUACGAAAAAAAAUAAAAUAAUUGAAAAUCCUUUCUCA